AGCAGCCGCGGUAAUUCCAGCUCCAAUAGCGUAUAUUAAAGUUGUUGCAGUUAAAAAGCUCGUAGUUGAAUUUCGGGGUCAAUAAGUUGGUCAUGCCAAUGGUAUGUACUGGCUUUAUUGAUUCCUACCUCUUGACGAACUGUGAUGCCAUUAAUUUGGUGUUGCAAGGAAUCAGGACUGUUACCUUGAAAAAUUAGAGUGUUUAAAGCAAGCUUACGCUUGAAUACAUUAGCAUGGAAUAAUGAAAUAGGACGUUUGAUCCUAUUUUGUUGGUUUCUAGGAUCGACGUAAUGAUUAAUAGGGAUAGUUGGGGGCAUUAGUAUUCAAUUGUCAGAGGUGAAAUUCUUGGGUUUAUUGAAGACUAACUACUGCGAAAGCAUUUGCCAAGGAUGUUUUCAUUAAUCAAGAACGAAAGUUAGGGGAUCGAAGACGAUCAGAUACCGUCGUAGUCUUAACCAUAAACUAUGCCGACUAGGGAUCGGAUGAUGUUAAUUUUUAAUGACUCAUUCGGCG
rnacentral:rRNA from 1 species